rnacentral:lncRNA from 1 species
GCGGGCAGAGAACCACCCAACGCCCCACCUCAAGCCGGCUGCCCAUGACAUGAACCACUGCAUGUACAGCUUACAGCCCACAGAACCACGUGUGCCUCAGCGCAUCCUUGGCGGUCAGGCUGCGCCUCUCCAGCUGUUGCCGAAGGUCCAGAGCCGCACUGCUUAAUGGAAACGCCAAGUGGUUCAUUAGCUGAUCCACAACCAUGUCCAGGUCUGAGUAUGGUGUGUAGGUGCCAUCGCAUUCCAGGGUGGUCCUGCGCCAGUACCUCAGGGGGUAGGGUGGAUCGCUGCACUUGCAGCCGACCUUGCCCACGUGCUCCAGGUCAAUGAGAAGCCAUUUGCGUGGUAUCGGCAGGAAAAUGAGGUUGGCCCAACGCACGUCCCGGUGCACAAAGCCUGCACGUGCACACACACAUGUAUGCCUUCUCAGAUGCACCAGCGACAAUCAAGCACCUGGCAACAAAUGCAUGUGGCGCAGCAGCAAGCCAAACACCCUGGCAUUAGACAUAUGCCGGUUAUAGCAGGGACCUUGCCUUCAGCGUGCAAUGCCUCUAGGCCGGUCAGGACGUCAUGCACCGCGCGCUUGAGAUCCUCCUCGGAAUGCGGAGGCCCCGUGCAGGGCACACCGACCGGGGCCAGGUGAACGAUGUAUUCAUCAUUCUCCAGGCGCGGUGCAGCCAUAUUGUAAGCCAGCUGGAUAAUCUUGCCGUCAUGCCGCUUCAUCUUUUGAUACACGUCCUGCAGCAGCUCGAAGCUUGUAUACUCCGAAUGCCACGUGGAGAAGUUCAUGAUACUCUUCCGAACGAAGCCUGCACAUACACACCGCAGCCCAAAAUUUACAGUUAGCAAGCGUACUUAACGCAGACAGAUUGCUGUGCAGAGGUGCCUGGCAUAUCAGCAAAACCGUAUCAGGCUCUUGAUAG